UAGGGAAUCUUCGGCAAUGGGGGCAACCCUGACCGAGCAACGCCGCGUGAGUGAAGAAGGUUUUCGGAUCGUAAAGCUCUGUUGUAAGAGAAGAACGUGUGUGAGAGUGGAAAGUUCACACAGUGACGGUAACUUACCAGAAUGGGACGGCUAACUAUGUGCCAGCAGCCGCGGUAAUACGUAGGUCCCGAGCGUUGUCCGGAUUUAUUGGGCGUAAAGCGAGCGCAGGCGGUUUAAUAAGUCUGAAGUUAAAGGCAGUGGCUUAACCAUUGUUCGCUUUGGAAUCUGUUAAACUUGAGUGCAGAAGCGGAGAGUGGAAUUCCAUGUGUAGCGGUGAAAUGCGUAGAUAUAUGGAGGAACACCGGUGGCGAAAGCGGCUCUCUGGUCUGUAACUGACGCUGAGGCUCGAAAGCGUGGGGAGCAAACAGG
rnacentral:rRNA from 1 species